CUUGUUUGGCAUUCAAAACAUACUUUUUUACACGUGAAAGUAAAGUAAACUAUUAAAUAUUCAUUAUAGUUAGAGGAGCUGAACUAAGAUCAACUGCUCUAUCAUAAAGCUGUUCCAAUCCAAUAGCUAACUGUAUUUGAAUAUCUCCUUGUUGAAGCUCAUUGAAUUGAAACUGAAAGAUCAUCAAAAAAGAAGAGAUGAAGCAACGCACACACCUACACAGCUGACAGCCGCCUGGGCAGCUGGACACUCAUGUGAAGUGCUCCGAUUUGGUUGGAAGCAUCAUUAAGGACUUUUCGUUAAGGAAUUCGGAGAAUCGCUAGAGCAAUGGGAUUGGGAAUAGCAAUUGGAAUGGCUAUAACAGAGCCACCCCCACGGCUGGAUGGCAAUCGUAUUGACUGAAAAAGGCGUCCAUUCAAAUGCUAUCAGAAAGUUGGCCGAACGCUCGUAAAAUCUCAAGAUGGACAGCGGACGUCACAUAAAGAGCGCGCAUAAAUUUUUAGCCAACAAUUGAAGUCGGCCAAAACGAACGAACGAACGGCUGCUAAUUGAAAGGCACGAGACGGUCCGCAUAAGAUCAGGCAGCCCAGCAUCUGGACAAAUAUUUACCGAAGCUUCACCUUUGGCUCGUAAAUUGCCGCCUACAAAGGGCCGAGGGAGCGAGAGAGAGAAAGAGAGAGAGAGUGAGAAAGGGAAGGAGAGGGAGGGAGUAUGGGAAUGGGCCCAAAAUCGAAAUCAAUAUCCAAGUGAAAGUAAUGACCGCUGUCCGUUCCCUCAGUGCGACAGAUCAGUGCUGGACAGAGACAUUAGGCUACUGUUCCUGCUCCUGCUGCUGCUGUUGCUGCUGCUGCUGCUGCUGCUGCUGCUGUUCUAGUAAAAAGAAAAUAACAACACACGAGACAAAUCUGGGCUAAGACACCUUGCGACGUCGCCGUUGUGCGGCAGCUGUUGACGCUUUGUCUGCCGGCAAUGCUGGCCGGCACAAAGGACACGGCAGGUAAGCCGCUGCCUCCAGGAGAGCGUACAAUGCAAAAGCGAAAGAGAGAGAGAGACAGAGAGAGAGAGAGCGCGAGAGGCAAUGUGUUGCUGCUCUUAAGCUGCUCAACAACAUGCGCCAUCUAUCGUCGGGUGGCAGCAGCUCAAUUUAAUCUGUGAGGCAACUGUUGCAAAAACUUGUGUCGAGAAUGGGUUGCACGUGGAACUGAUGAGGCGCACCGUUGUAGGUAUGAAGAAUAUGAAGAUGAAGAUCAAGAAAGUUUCAUUCGAAAAAAAUUGAGCUGGGAUAUUUAAAGGUUUAAUAGGAAACAAGAAAUGAUGGAUGCUGGAUCUAUAGCAGCUUGAGUAUAAUAUAAUGCUGAAUGAAUGAGGCCAAAAAUAUACAGCUGCAUUUACAAUGACUGAGGCCGCACUGCUUCAGUUGAGGCAUAUCGGUCGAACACCUGA